UACGUAGGGUGCAAGCGUUAAUCGGAAUUACUGGGCGUAAAGCGUGCGCAGGCGGUUUUGUAAGUCUGUCGUGAAAUCCCCGGGCUCAACCUGGGAAUUGCGAUGGAGACUGCAAGGCUAGAAUCUGGCAGAGGGGGUAGAAUUCCACGUGUAGCAGUGAAAUGCGUAGAGAUGUGGAGGAACACCGAUGGCGAAGGCAGCCCCCUGGGUCAAGAUUGACGCUCAUGCACGAAAGGCGUGGG
rnacentral:rRNA from 1 species